CCAAAGGCUCUUUUCAGAGCCCCUCCAUUGUCCCCUAAAGGAGCUGU
rfam:Mustela putorius furo unplaced genomic scaffold scaffold00400, whole genome shotgun sequence.